rnacentral:tRNA from 1 species
GGAAUGGUAGCUAAGAGCGCAUGCUCUGGAGCCAGUGGCCUGGGUUUGAAUCCCAGCUUUUCCA